GGAGUCUGUGAAUGUUUCUACCUUCAGGCAGUCUUGCUGCAGUAAUCAUGUACUGAAACAUCUCUUCUUGCUGUUGUUUUAUCUAUCAAACCUAAUAGAGGGAGUUCUGGCUUAAAACCAUUUUCUUCUUUAAGCUGUUUUGGAUCACUUCAUGGGCUGGCUUCCAAUACUUUCUAGUAGGCUUGUGCAUUUUGGCUGAACUUCGAUCUGUCUCUGCUAGCUGAAUUCCAGGAGACCCAUGGAUUUGGUUUUGGAAAAAAAGGGUGGGUUACCAAAUAGCCAUUUCAGGUCUGGAGCCAAAAGAUUUAGGAAGAUCCAGCCCAUUGGUGGGAAUGGGGAAUUUACAAGACUUCCCUUUCUAUUCCUGGGACCCUUUCUGAUCUUCCUUUCAAGGGAGUCUGGUGCUGCAAUGGCUGAAAGGCAUACUUAGGCUAGAUCUACAGUGCCAUAUAGGAGCCCCCGGUGGUGCAGUGGAUUAAACCCUUGUGCCGGCAGGACUGAUUACCCGAAGGUUGCCAGUUUGAAUCCAACCCGAGGAGAGUGCGGAUGAGCUCCCUCUGUCAGCUCCAGCUCCAUGCGUGGACAUGAGAGAAGCCUCCCACAAGGAUGAUAAAAACAUCAAAACAUCAGGUCGUCCCCUGGGCAACGUCCUUGCAGAUGGCCUAUUCUCUCACACCAGAAGUGACUUGCAGUUUCUCAAGUCAUUCCUGACAUGAUAAAAAGUGCCAUAUAAUCUAGAUUAUCAAAUCAGAUAUUCCACAUUAUCUGAUUUGAACUGGAUUAUAUGAGUCUACACUGCCAUAUAUUCCAAUUCAAAGUAGAUAAUCUGGAUUUUAUAUGGCAGUGUAGAUCCAGCCUUAGGUCCCUUCUACACUGCCCUAUAUCCCAGGAACUGAUCCCAGAUUAUCUUCUUAUCCUUGAUUAUCUGGCAGUCAAUCUGGGACCAGAACCUGAUAUAUAGGACAGAGUAGAAGGGGCCAUAGUAUUCCCUUGGAAGUAAUGACCUAACAUAUUUCAAGAACACCAUAUAUUGGUUGAAUGUGUUCCACAGAACUAAACUCUGCUUGAGCUGAAAUGUGUUAGCAACAUUUCCUUCCUUUGGAAGGGAGUGAAUUCUCUCUGCAAUAUAUUGUUUUUGGCUAUCCUUGUUAUUAAGCAAAGUAUUUUGGAGUGGUUUGGUGUGGAAUGAGUCAUUAAGAUUAAUUAACUUUACCAAAGGCCUGCUCCUGGUAGAUAUGAAAAUUUGAACACCAACAAAUCAACCCAUUAUUGAUGUGAGCUAACAGGAUUACCUGUAUUUCCAAAUAAUCUGGUAACUGAUGAAAUUAGUUCUUGCACUUGAAAGCUAUUUUUCAUCUGAGAAAUUACGAUUUAUCUGAGUUUCUUAAAUGAUCUCCAUGGUGAGCUGGGAUUACAAUAGAUUCUUCUGAAUCCAAACCCACUGCCUGCCACUGAAAUAUUUUGCCACCAUUAAGUGUAGCUGAAACCUACUUUGCCCAUGAAGCCUAAACUGGAGGAAUGUCAUUUUGCUUCCUCAUAAGCACACCAGAGAGCAAAUGGAAAGGGCAAAACACGGCUUUCCUGCCUUAAUGUUUUCCCCUGCUCCCCACAUCCUUUUCUGCCUGAGGAUUAGCCAGAAGCAAAAAGCAGAAGCAAAAAGGUUACUUUAAAAUCUUGCAGGGAAAAAUAAAUUUCAGAUUUUAGCUCCUAACGGCAGCAUUGAUGCUUUAAGUUGUCUCUAAAUCUAGGUGUACAUAAAACACACAGAAGUGUGUUUUAUGAGCAGAUGACUGAUUAAAGAUAGUCUUGGCUGCCUUCCUGGAUUCAACAAUACAUUUCUUAACUAUUAGGAAGACAACAUUUCCCCAAAUUAUUUGCAGAUUUCAAGCUCAGCUGGUGACCUGAAAUCAUUUCACUUUCUCCAACAUUUUUAUCUAAUUUGGUCACUUGGCUCAAUGUUAUGGUAUUAUGAGGAUUGUGGGGGUUUUUUCUCUCCCUUAUACAUUUUUAAUAAUUUUUGUAAAAUUAUUGUAAAAGAUAACUCUUUUAAUUUUCAGGUGAAAACCCAGAACAGAUUUCCUGCCCCAAGCUGCUAUAGGUAUUCUAACAUCCAUACCAGAUGGAGGGUCCCUUUGAAUCCCAGUCUGCAGAGUGGGAGAAGUACACAUGUUUUGCCUGUGGGCUUCGCAGAGUCAUCUGGUUGGUCACUUCAAAAGAAACCACUGAACUGGAUGACUACUCAUCUGACCUAGCCAGCCUGACUCUUCUUAUACGCUUAAGGACAAUCUUUCAAUGACAAGACAUGUUGUUAUUUCAAAGUAAGAUUACAAAUAAUUUUGGAACAGCAUUCUCUGUAAACAUGGAUGGCAAUAAAACUAAGAACACAAUAUGAAAUUGGCUCAAGGACUCAACAAAUCACCCCCGUUUAAAAAAGAAAAGAUUAAAACAACCCAAGGGAUCUCAGCAGGUAUAACUUUUUCUGUCACGAUAAAUAACUCUGAGAAAACGAUUGAUUAAAUGCGGACAGGGGGCUGCCUCAAGUCUCACAACACUAGGAUGUCUCGCAAUGCUGGAAGCACCUGUAAUGUUACCGAAAUCAGCUAUCUGCCACAAGGGGAUGGUAUAGGUUGGUUGUUUGGCAUGCAUGAAAAACAGGAAAAAAUUGACUGAGUUUGAAGGCAGUAACAGAAGUUUUAUUCUUCUGGCCAGAUAGAUGUCAGAACAGCAUAAUUGCUUCAAAGAACCGACAUAACAUACAAUACAGUGCAAAGCAUUUUAUUCCCUUUGGCAGCCAUUCAGAAUACCUGCUUCCAACCCCUUGAUUGGCUCAGGAAUUGUUGAGCUAGAACUCUCUGUGAUGUCAGAGGUGGAUGGAGAACUGUUAUUUGUCAAUUUGAAGCUGGAGUCAUUUGGAAGAUCCUCCCAGGAGAUAAAGGGCAAGAUUUGGUAAAUGGUCUGAAAUAGUCCAGGAUGGAAUUAUAAAGUUUACAAUAGAUGCCAGCCUCAGAGACAAAAGGCAAAGCUUAGGCAAAUAUCAUGAUUACAUCUCUAAAGAGGCCUUGCUUCCCUGUGGGGGUUCCCUCUCAGCUGGAUAUCGGGAUGACUUCCUGGCUGUUUAACCCUGCAAGAGUUUCCCAAGCUCAUUUAGUAUAGUUCAAGUUUCUUUGGAUGCCCAGUUCUUGUGCAUAUAUAUGUGAGUCCUCUCCACUGAUUGUUCAUUAAUAAAGAAAAUAUAUGUACAAGGGUUCUUCUCCGGUGGCAGCUUGGAAAAAAUAGCUAGUUUAAUACAGUUGUGCAUAAUCUUUUUAACAGGGAAGAGGGGAAGAGAGGGAGAUUAGUCUGAGGAAGCAGAUAAUGGGACCCCUGGAGUCGAAUUCUUAAUUGCAUUUUAAGGAAAGUCCUUUUCCUGUUUCUCUGUCUGACUUGAGGGAUUUUCCUGCCAAACCAGUUUUUUCAGUUUUUCUCUUACACUUAGUAAAUGUUAUGAUUGAGCCUCAUGGCUCUGCUACUGGCAGACGUGGGCGUAAGACUCCUCGAGAGUCAGAUACUCUCGAGGAGCGAGAAAGAAAGAGGCUGCGAGAUAUCUUUGCAGAACCAUCUGACGAAGAGUCUUUUGAGGGGUUUACGGAGAGAAUGGAGGAAGAGCUGGUUAGCUCGGAAGAGGAUGAGAUGGAUUGGACUCGGGUAAGGGAGGAAUUGGGUGCCACUGGCAAUGAUGGGAUGGAAGAUGAUUGGGGACCUUCAGGACUAGACCCAUGGACAAGCUGGAGGGAUGGGACGGGAUCCACAGCUGGGGAUGCUGUGGGGCGUAGUCAGAGGUGUUCCAGUUCUGAUGAGGAAAGUGAUGAGGAAACGCCCGGGUUAAGGAGAACAGCUGAUAGUGAUGAGGACUUGUAACUGGCAUAAAAUGGGGUUUGGGAGCAAUAGCAAAUUGCGUUGGGCAAGGUAAUCUGGACAAACGCUUGGGAUCUGUGUGGGACGUUUUCCUGAAGACGGGUGUGUUUCGUGUGCUGAUUACCUUUGACCUUCCGUCGUCUUCUUGACGGACGCCAUCUGCUGCUCUGGAUUUAUGGACUGAACUGACUACGGGCUCGGAUUCUCCUAACUGGACUUGGUGUACUACAAACGUCUGCUUCUGCCUAUCGACCUUCGGAAAGAACUGGGACUACGCUACUGCUUCAAUCCUCGGCUGUUGUGUUUGUAUUGGAAAUUUGCCUGCUGUGUGGAGGAGUGACUUCUAAGUUACUCAAAACAUAGUACUGGCAGCAGAGAGGCAUCUGCUGCCAAUUAGUUACAUUCUUUUGAACUCUUUGUUCCCCAGCUUCUGUUUUGUUUAUUCCCAGGCUGAAGCAAGCUGUUUUGAUUUUACCCGGAUUAAACUCCGGUUUAAUCCGGUUUAUCUUUUGAACGUUUUUCUUGCCCCUUUUUGCUUUUUAAGGCUAAUGUUGCCUAGCCCUUGUCUUUUACGGGCAUUUUGAGUUCUGUAAAUCCAAUAAACUCUGUUAUCUUUGA